rnacentral:tRNA from 1 species
CUCGCGAUAGCUCAGUUGGUAGAGCGGAGGACUGUAGUAAGCCAUUAUCAACUGUAAUCCUUAGGUCGGUGGUUCGAAUCCGUCUCGCGAGA